AUUGCCCUAGUAACGGCGAGUGAAGCGGCAACAGCUCAAAUUUGAAAUCUGGCCUCGGCCCGAGUUGUAAUUUGCAGAGGAUGUUUCUGGCGCGGUGCCUUCCGAGUUCCCUGGAACGGGACGCCAAAGAGGGUGAGAGCCCCGUAUGGUUGGACACCAAGCCUGUGUGAAACUCCUUCGACGAGUCGAGUAGUUUGGGAAUGCUGCUCUAAAUGGGAGGUAAAUCUCUUCUAAAGCUAAAUACCGGCCAGAGACCGAUAGCGCACAAGUAGAGUGAUCGAAAGAUGAAAAGCACCUUGAAAAGGGGGUUAAAUAGUACGUGAAAUUGUUGAAAGGGAAGCACUUAUGACCAGACUUGGGCCGGGCGGCUCAUCAGGGGUUCUCCCCUGUGCACUCCGCCCGGCACAGGCCAGCAUCGGUUUUCGCGGGGGGAUAAGACCGUCAGGAACGUAGCACCCUCCGGGGUGUGUUAUAGCCUGGCGGACGAUACCCUCGCGGGGACCGAGGUUCGCGCUCCGCAAGGAUGCUGGCGUAAUGGUCAUCAGUGACCCGUCUUGAAACACGGACCAAGGAGUCGUCCAUUAGAGCGAGCGUUUGGGUGUAAAACCCGCACGCGUAAUGAAAGUGAACGCAGGUGAGAGCUUCGGCGCAUCAUCGACCGAUCCUGAUGUUCUCGGAAGGAUUUGAGUAAGAGUUUUAACGGACGGACCCGAAAGACAGUGAACUAUGCUUGUAUAGGGUGAAGCCAGAGGAAACUCUGGUGGAGGCUCGCAGCGGUUCUGACGUGCAAAUCGAUCGUCAAAUAUGAGCAUG
rnacentral:rRNA from 1 species